AACGAACGCUGGCGGCAUGCCUAACACAUGCAAGUCGAACGAGACCUUCGGGUCUAGUGGCGAACGGGGGCGUAACGCGUGGGAACCUGCCCUUAGGUUCGGAAUAACUCCCCGAAAGGGGUGCUAAUACCGGAUAAUGUCUUCGGACCAAAGAUUUAUCGCCUUUGGAUGGGCCCGCGUUGGAUUAGCUAGUUGGUAGGGUAAAAGCCUACCAAGGCGACGAUCCAUAGCUGGUCUGAGAGGAUGAUCAGCCACACUGGGACUGAGACACGGCCCAGACUCCUACGGGAGGCAGGAGUGGGGAAUAUUGGACGAUGGGGGAAAGCCUGAUGCAGCCAUGCCGGGUGAGUGAUGAAGGCCUUAGGGUUGUAAAGCUCUUUUACCCGGGAUGAUAAUGACGGUACCGGGAGAAUAAGCUCCGGCUAACUACGUG
rnacentral:rRNA from 1 species